UGUGGCAGAUUAGUGCAGUAAACUUAAGAUUUUCAUAUAAAUAAAAUUUCCUUAGAA
rnacentral:tRNA from 1 species